UGGGUGACGAGCGGCGGACGGGUGAGUAAUGUCUGGGAAACUGCCUGAUGGAGGGGGAUAACUACUGGAAACGGUAGCUAAUACCGCAUAACGUCUUCGGACCAAAGUGGGGGACCUUCGGGCCUCACGCCAUCAGAUGUGCCCAGAUGGGAUUAGCUAGUAGGUGGGGUAAUGGCUCACCUAGGCGACGAUCCCUAGCUGGUCUGAGAGGAUGACCAGCCACACUGGAACUGAGACACGGUCCAGACUCCUACGGCCAGGCAGCAGUGGGGAAUAUUGCACAAUGGGCGCAAGCCUGAUGCAGCCAUGCCGCGUGUGUGAAGAAGGCCUUCGGGUUGUAAAGCACUUUCAGCGAGGAGGAAGGGUUCAGUGUUAAUAGCACUGUGCAUUGACGUUACUCGCAGAAGAGCACCGGCUAACUCCGUGCCAGCAGCCGCGGUAAUACGGAGGGUGCAAGCGUUAAUCGGAAUUACUGGGCGUAAAGCGCACGC
rnacentral:rRNA from 1 species